UAAAUAAGCAUAACUGACAGCUUAAUAACAUUAAUCAAAGCAAGCCAGAGAGCACACCAUCUGCAACACGGUCCACGGACACGACGACCAAGAAUCAACUUCCUCGACAGAAGCACAGAGGCUCGACCGGAUUCGAUGGAAUUCCAAACUUUUGCGAUUGAUUCGUUUCAUUUCGCAAAUUGACUAGCAUUCCUACCCCCACCCCACCCUCGGAGGGUGCUCGGAGCUACGGUUGAUUGGCGAUAAGUGAGUGAGAUUGAAUGAGUACGACACGAGCGCCGUGAGCAAUGGGACAAAAAGGUGAAUGUGAGCCGCUCCAACUCCGACUGUCCAAGCGAGCGAGCAGACGACGAACGCCUCAGAAUCCAAUAACUGAAGGCAGGCUAAAUGAACCAUUUCCUCGCCGGUCCUCCGUUUCCACCCAGCCCAGCACGGCCAUCAUCGCCAAGGCCUGUUUGUUUUCGGCACCUUGCUCACACUCUCUCCCAUCCACCCAUCCAUCUCCUUCACAAGCGCUGCAGGAUAAAAAGCAUUUUCAAUCAAUCGUUUUAUUGCCCUGUCGUGGUCGGCUGUUUCUGGCUGGAGCUGCUCGACCACCGCGUGCCCGAGCCGCUUUCACAUGAACUGAGAAGCUGGGCGGACGGAAAACAAAGUCUCGGACUACUGUGAUUGGAUUUUGAUCGUCGUCUAUCAGAGCACCAGCGAAGAGAGAAGAGAAGUAAGUAAGCGAAGAAGCGCUAUAAAAUAUACAAAAAUAACAACCGACAAUAGGGGCGCACGCACUGCACCGUUGAGGCC